rnacentral:rRNA from 1 species
AGGGUUUGAUUCUGGCUCAGAACGUACGCUGGCGGCACGCCUAACACAUGCAAGUCGAACGAAGUAGCAAUACUUAGUGGCAGACGGGUGAGUAACAUGUAGGUAUCUACCCUUUGGCCUGGAAUAACACGAGGAAACUUGUGCUAAUACCGGAUAAGUCUUUACGGAGAAAGCUUUAUGCACCAUUGGAUGAGCCUGCACUUGAUUAGUUUGUUGGUGGGGUAAUGGCCUACCAAGACUGUGAUCAAUAGCUGAUUUGAGAGGAUGAUCAGCCACAUUGGGACUGAGACACGGCCCAAACUCCUACGGGAGGCAGCAGUGGGGAAUCUUGCACAAUGGAGGAAACUCUGAUGCAGCGAUGCCGCGUGAGUGAAGAAGGCCCUUGGGUUGUAAAGCUCUUUCGUCGGGGAGGAAAAUGACUGUACCCGAAUAAGAAGGUCCGGCUAACUUCGUGCCAGCAGCCGCGGUAAUACGAAGGGACCUAGCGUAGUUCGGAAUUACUGGGCUUAAAGAGUUCGUAGGUGGUUGAAAAAGUUAGUGGUGAAAUCCCAGAGCUUAACUCUGGAACUGCCAUUAAAACUCUUCAGCUAGAGUAUGAUAGAGGAAAGCAGAAUUUCUAGUGUAGAGGUGAAAUUCGUAGAUAUUAGAAAGAAUACCAAUUGCGAAGGCAGCUUUCUGGAUCAUUACUGACACUGAGGAACGAAAGCAUGGGUAGCGAAGAGGAUUAGAUACCCUCGUAGUCCAUGCCGUAAACGAUGUGUGUUAGACGUUGGAAAUUUAUUUUCAGUGUCGCAGCGAAAGCGAUAAACACACCGCCUGGGGAGUACGGCCGCAAGGUUAAAACUCAAAUGAAUUGACGGGGACCCGCACAAGUAGUGGAGCAUGUGGUUUAAUUCGAAGAUACGCGCAGAACCUUACCAACACUUGACAUGUUCGUCGCAACUCUAAGAGAUUAGAGUUUUCGGUUCGGCCGGACGAAACACAGAUGCUGCAUGGCUGUCGUCAGCUCGUGUCGUGAGAUGUUGGGUUAAGUCCCGCAACGAGCGCAACCCUCACUUUUAGUUGCCAUCAUUAAGUUGGGCACUCUGAAAGAACUGCCAGUGAUAAGCUGGAGGAAGGUGGGGAUGACGUCAAGUCCUCAUGGCCCUUACGUGUUGGGCUACACACGUGCUACAAUGGUAUCUACAACAGGAAGCAAGACUGCGAGGUCAAGCAAAUCCUUAAAAGAUACCUCAGUUCGGAUUGCACUCUGCAACUCGAGUGCAUGAAGCUGGAAUUACUAGUAAUCGUGGAUCAGCGUGCCACGGUGAAUGCGUUCCCGGGUCUUGUACACACCGCCCGUCACACCAUGGGAGUUGGUUCUACCUUAAGGCAAGGUUUAAAACCCUUGACCACGGUAUAGUCAGCGACUGGGGUGAAGUCGUAACAAGGUAACC